GAUGAACGCUGGCGGCGUGCCUAAUACAUGCAAGUCGAGCGAAGCGGGGACGGGUGAGUAACACGUGGAUAACCUCCUAUAAGACUGGGAUAACUUCGGGAAACCGGAGCUAAACCGGAUACUUAUAGAUUGAUCCGCGCUGCAUUAUCUAGUUGGUAAGGUAACGGCUUACCAAGGCAACUAUGCAUAGCCGACCUGAGAGGGUGAUCGCCCAACGGGAAACGGAGACCGGGUCCAGACUCCUAGGGGGGCGAACGGGUGGAAUUGUUCCGAAAGGGGCAAAGCCCUGCAGGAGCAACGCCGCGUGUGUGGUGAGGGUGUUGGGUUCGUAAAUCUCUUUAAUUAGGAAGCGGUACCUAAUCAGAAAGCCACGGCUAACUACGUGCCAGCAGCCGCGGUAAUUC
rnacentral:rRNA from 1 species